rnacentral:rRNA from 1 species
GAUGAACGCUAGCGGGAGGCUUAACACAUGCAAGUCGAGGGGCAGCAUAGGGUAGCAAUACUCUGAUGGCGACCGGCAAACGGGUGAGUAACGCGUAUGCAACCUACCCUGUACAGGGGGAUAACCCGGAGAAAUUCGGACUAAUAUCCCGUAAUAAUAUCCGGAGGCAUCUUUGGAUAUUUAAAGUUCCGACGGUACCGGGAUGGGCAUGCGUAACAUUAGCUGGUUGGUAAGGUAACGGCUUACCAAGGCUAUGAUGUUUAGGGGUCCUGAGAGGGUGGUCCCCCACACUGGUACUGAGACACGGACCAGACUCCUACGGGAGGCAGCAGUGAGGAAUAUUGGUCAAUGGGCGCAAGCCUGAACCAGCCAUCCCGCGUGCAGGAAGACGGCCCUAUGGGUUGUAAACUGCUUUUCCAGGGAGAGAAACUUACGCACGUGUUGCGUGACUGACGGUACCCUGGGAAUAAGCAUCGGCUAACUCCGUG